rnacentral:lncRNA from 12 species
UGGAGGAUUUGGGGUCACCUUUGACCUUAUUAACUUUUGUUAACUUAAUUGUGAAUUAUGUUGACAUGUUUUACUGUUCUGAAACAGACUGGGAAGAUCACAGCACACAGCUUCAGAAAAAGCUUUUUGGAGUGGGAGGCUGUUAGAUUUGAGGUGGAUAAGAUCUGCAGGGAGGAGCAUUUUGUCUGUCCUGCGUGCAACCCAGACAUGCUUGCUGUUUCUGUGGACGGAAAUCGCAAGCACUACCGCUUUAAGAAUGCAGCAAGAUCUGAAGAACAAGCCUUAUUUGAUGGGAUCUUCAUUGCAAAAGAUGAUGAAGUAGAGAGAUUUGUGGAUUACAUUCAUUCUAUCACCAACCAUGUAAACGUGUUGUAUAAUAUUUCUAAAAACAUCACCAAUAACAUCUUACAGUUGACAUUGUUUGGGUGAGUCCUGACUAUUUAUAUCAACCUUUUUCCAUGUUGUAGGUCUCUGGAAGAGGUGUCUGUGGAGGGGAGUGGUCAGUUGCCAGGGAAACGUCUCAGAGAUCCUCAAGUAGAAUUGAUGAGGAGGGAUUUGAGCUUGCAGUCUGUCAACAUGGAGUUUUUUCUCAGGUCUCUCAACAUGUUCAGGGGAGAAAUAUAUGCUUAUCCCCUCCAUCAGCAAAACAAGCUAGCUGGCAAAUACGCCAAUAAGCUUUUUUGCCAUGGAUGUAACCUGCAAGUACUGGCCCUACCUCAACAAAGUGACAAAAAGCUGCCCGGAGCUCCAGCACCUUCUGAGCACUGUCAAAUAUAGUAGUAAGCUAUUUUCACCUAUUUAACGAUUCAAUUUUUAAAAUCUCAUGACACAAGUGUGUGCCCCCCCCCAAAAAAAACAAAAACAAAAACAGGGUGUAUCCAAAAUUUUACACUUUUAACUUCUAAUUAUGAGAAAUAUACCAAUCUACUGUAAAACUACAACUCCCAUAAGAGACACACCACAUAAGCUAUUACAAAGCGUGUGCACUUGUAGUUAUUCCGGGGUAGGUGGGGGGACAUGUUCGACUCCUGUGUUUCUGCUGUCUGCUGUGAAUCAUAGUAACUAUGGCCGUGAAUGGGCUUCAUUCCAUUUCAGAUUGCCGCCGGCCGACAAGCACACAAUACAUGAGACAAAUACAUGAAACUGUAUUUUAUUAUUAUUGUUAUCUUUAUUGUUUAAAUCCCCAAAUACAAUGUUAGACAAAAACAUCAAUAUUACAAAUAUUAUGUAUUUUUAUCUUUUUUUUUUUUAUCAAGAAAUGUUUUACAAUAGUGCAAACACACAUUUCUUAGAAAUCUAGAACAUUUUCAAAAAAGCAUAUAUUAAACAAAUGAAGUCAAUUUUGCACAAAUGUAUUUUUUAAAUUUUUUUUUCAUACUACGUCACUUCCGGAGUCUUCGUUUGAUUUGAAUAAACGAUAUUACGGUGCAUAACUUACUGGAACAAAGCUGAGCAAUGUGUUGUUACUGGUGACAAAACCAAUGAUUAUACAGGUCCUUCUCAAAAAAUUAGCAUAUUGUGAUAAAAGUUAAUUAUUUUCCAUAAUGUAAUGAUAAAAAUUAAACUUUCAUAUAUUUUAGAUUCAUUGCACACCAACUGAAAUAUUUCAGGUCUUUUAUUGUUUUAAUACUGAUGAUUUUGGCAUACAGCUCAUGAAAACCCCAAAUUCCUAUCUCAAAAAGUUAGCAUAUCAUGAAAAGGUUCUCUAAACGAGCUAUUAACCUAAUCAUCUGAAUCAACUAAUUAACUCUAAACACCUGCAAAAGAUUCCUGAGGCUUUUAAAAACUCCCAGCCUGGUUCAUUACUCAAAACCGCAAUCAUGGGUAAGACUGCCGACCUG